GGGUUGAUGGCCUAAUGGCUAUCGCUUCUGAUUCAUAAUCAGAAAGUCAUGGGUUCAAUCCA
rnacentral:tRNA from 1 species